rnacentral:rRNA from 1 species
AGAUGGCGACCGGCGCACGGGUGAGUAACACGUAUCCAACCUGCCGAUAACUCGGGGAUAGCCUUUCGAAAGAAAGAUUAAUACCCGAUGGCAUAAUUAGACCGCAUGGUCUUAUUAUUAAAGAGUUUCGGUUAUCGAUGGGGAUGCGUUCCAUUAGGCAGUUGGUGAGGUAACGGCUCACCAAACCUUCGAUGGAUAGGGGUUCUGAGAGGAAGGUCCCCCACAUUGGAACUGAGACACGGUCCAA